ACCAGGAUGCUGACCAGUCAACUCUUGGAUCCUCCACCUGGUCUGUGCUGGGAAGUGUGCAGGCAUAAUUUACUUCCGCGAGGAUCUUAAAGCAAAGGAUUAGGAGGAAAAGGACAAUCAAGUUUACAAGACUACUGAAGGAUUUCCCCCUUUGCAAUAACAAAGGAACAAAUAUUUCCAUUAAAACAAGUUUUGCAAAGAGGUAAACAACAGGAAUUCUGCAGAUGCUGGAAAUUCAAGCAACACACAUCAAAGUCGCUGGUGAACGCAGCAGGCCAGGCAGCAUCUGUAGGAAGAGGUGCAGUCGACAUUUCAGGCCGAGACCCUUCGUCAGGACUAACUCAAAGAGGGCAGCAUGUAUAAGGAGAAGAGCAAGGGACCAAGAUAGCUUCCCUGAGCAUCACCAAAAGAUCGACAAGGUACAUAGGAACAUGAGAACAACCUGUCAGUCUGCUAUAUCCCAUGUCUUACACCAUCUAGAAGCAUUUUUGCAUUUUUGCCCUGACAAAAUGCUAUAUGACCCACCCAACAGGACAUUGAGAGUACCUUGGCCACAAGAACUGCUGCUGUUUAAGUGCUUACUUCCACCUUUUUAAAAACUUAUAGUUGUAUUAAUACAAAAAAAGUGAUAUUUACCUUUUAAAUUCAUUGGAAUGAUUUAAGUUUUUGUCCCUUCUACCUUGUUUCAAGGAUUUCCAUUUUCUUUGGAUUUAUGAGCCCUCCUGUUCUGCUGUUUUGUUGAUUGUACAUAUAAGGCCAAAUUCAGCAAUAGCCAAUGAACUUCAGGGGACAUGAUUCAUGUUUUAGGCAAAAAGGCUUAUUAGAGACUAGAGUUAGUAAAUAACGCAUUGAUUUCUUUGAAGAAGAGGUGAUUACUAUACAUCUAUUUCAUACUUUCAUUGAAAUUUCCUGUUAUGUAUUUACCAUUCUCUGUUUAAGUAAUUCAUUAUGAGUUGUUUCUGAAAGUAUGUAAAUGGCAUAUAUUAUUAUGCCAUUAUGUCAUAAGGGCAAGUCUUGCUAGAAUUAAAAAUGAAACUAGGGCAUGCAUUCCCAGCUGGACAUUUUUUUCAAUUAGUACUAUGGUUUGGAGUUACAAAACAUAACAGUGGUAUGAAUCGAGACGACUGCCUAUCUGUUGAAGCAUAGCCAGAUGUUCAAGUUUUAAAAAAUGCACAAUGAGACAUUUGAAUUUUUAAAAAACUACAGACAAUGGAAAAAAAUCACUGGUUCUUAAAUAGUGAGUACUGGGUGAUAAUAAUCAUAAAUUAAGAAAGAGCAGAAAUGGAUGGCUACAUCAGAGAGACGGACACGGUUGAUUGAACAAAGGAUAACUGAAUAUUGUAUACUCGGCAAAUUGAGCACUAUUUUGAAGCCAAUAUAAAGCCAGUUUUGCUGUGUGCAUUGGGUGGAAAAGCAUACAGUUUGCAUAGAGGUUUAACGGCUCCAAACAAACCAGCUGAAAAUAGGUUCUCUGAUAUUGUGAAAGUAAUGUAGGAACAUCAAAGCAAUUAUUGAUUGCAGAAUGCUUUAGGUUUCAUAAGUGGAAUCAAAAGGAAGUGGAGUCCAUUUCAGCAAAUGUGACUGAGCUGAAGACAUUGUCUAAGGAUUGUCAGUUUAGUGAUGGGUUUAAUGGUGCACUGAGAGAUUGUUUAGUUUGUGGAAUCUUAAAAGAAAGCAUUCAAAAUGGCUCCUAACUGAAGCACAACUUACAUUUAAAAGAGCAUUUGAAAUAGUUGUAUCAACUGAAACAGCAGACAGAGAUGCAAUUGAGUUACAGUCACUGAUGAAAGCACAAAAUUGCAAUGUCUAAAUAGAAACCUGCCUAGCCAAACAAAUUGUGUUAUUGUUAUGACAGGGGUUCACAUACACUAGCGACCAAUGCAGGUUUAAAUGUAAAACUUGCAGAAAAUGCAACAAAGUAAGACACGUAUGAUAUAAAGAGCAUGUUGGACAGACAAAAAUGAAUGGACUACACAGGGAAAAGAAAAGAAAAAGUCAAGUUGCAGUUUCAAGAACAGCUAUAAUCAGCAUGCUGUUCAUGAAAAUCUGAUAGUAAUGAGUGAUACAGGACUGCGUAGCCUUGACAUGUACAAUGUGAAAAUCAAUAAGAGACAAACAAUAUGGCUUACACCAGAAGUGAAUAGCAGAUUAAUUAAAAUGGAAUUGGACACUGGCUUGAGUGUUUUAGUCCACAAAAUAAGUUUGAAUGGCAUUUCAAGGAUACUGAACUGAAGCCUGCAGAUAUCUAACUAAGAACUUAUACUGGAGAAAAGAUAACUCCUGUGGGAAUAACAUUUGUAACAGUAAAAUACAACAACCAAUAAACUACAUUGGGCUUGUAUGCGGUAAAAACAGAAGGACCAGCAUUUUGGGGCCAUGAUUGGUUGAGACAACUACAAACUGAUUAGAAAGUCAACUACAAUUUGAAUGCCACAUCCCCUGGAAUUAAGAUGAUGAUGCCACUGCAGUGUUUAAGAAUGGCAUUGAAAAUCUCAAACACAUCAAGGGUAAAAUAGUGUUAACUAAGAAUGAGUCACCCAAAUUUUACAAAGCCCAUCCAGUUCAUUAUACCAUUCAUAAUAAAGUAGCCACUGAGCUAGAUUGCAUAGAGGCUGAAAGAAUUCUUUCCAAUAUUGACUGGAGGCCAUGGCCAAAACCAGUGGUCCAAGUAGCCAAGAAGGUUUCAGUUAAGAUAAGGGGCUUUGGUGUUCAACUUAAGAAUGUUGUGUCAGCUAAUCAGGAUGAUGGAAUUGUGAGAAGGUUCUAGAGAACGCUGGGUGGAGAGGAUUUUGUGAUGGACGCUGGUGAGAGACAGGGUCUUUUUGGAGGGAGCCAGGAGACGACAGGAGGGAAGAUGGCUGAGGAUGCCAUCCCUGUUGUACAAGGUGCUUUGUGCAGAUGAAUGGCUUCAAGGAGGAAGGCCAAUACUCCUGGGGUGAGCUCAUUUGUUCGAGAUGGAUUUCGAGCGACAUUCGCAAGGUGGUGUAGGCUUUCAUGCAGACCGAGGGUUCAGUGUUUGAGUUAAAGACAACUUCAAGAUGUGUUCCAACUGGGGGCGUCACAUGAUGACGUGGGAUUGAGACGUGUAAAUCCAACUCUCCCGUAAAAAAUCAGCAAAGUACCGUUUAAACAAAGUAAAGUUAAUAAAUACUUUCUGAAAACUACUUAUAAACUUCGUAAGACUACUCUACGAUAUGCCUCGUAAACCGCAACAGAAGAAGUCUGUUGUUGUGAAGUCGCCGCGAGAUGGGAAGAAAAAAGGGCCUACUGCAGCGAUGGAGCCUUGGAUUCAGGUUGGAUCUCCUUCAGAUGAGACGCAUUUUAUCUCUGGCGUAGAAGAACGGGGAGCAAUGGCGGCGGUAGCGGUCUCUCAGAAGAAGAUGCCGGAAUUGCGCAUGCGCAAAGAAGUACGCAUGCGCAAAUCGACACAAUUUAAACUACAAGAACCAACGGCCACUGCAACUGAAAGUGACUCAGAGUCAGAAUUGGAUAUUGCAGAGAAUACAGAUGAAGAAGAGGAGAAAGAACCGGAAGAGAUUGGAAGUAAAGGAGACGAUGGAGACAUAAGAGAGGCUUUAUUGCAAUUAACGGCUGAAUUAAGAAAAUUAAGAACAGAGCUUAGAGACGUGAAGAUGUGCUAUGAUAAAGCUAUGAAAAGACAGGAUAAAAUGGAUAAGAAUCUUCAGAAGAUGGAAAGAACAAUCGAGCAUAUUAACAAUAGAGUGGAAAAAACAGAAAAUAAUGUGCUUGUCUGGAACACGGGAAGAAAUCGACUCUUGGAGAAAGUGGACGUGUUGGAAAAUUUUAGUAGAUGUAAUAACAUUAAAAUUGUUGGUCUUAAAGAAGGUAUAGAGGGAGAUAAUCCAAUAGAAUUUUUUCAAAGGUGGAUCCCGAAAACCUUGUAAAUGAAAGAGGAAGACCGAUCAAUUGAAAUUGAGCGGGUACAUAGAGCUCUAAGACCAAAACCACAAGAUGACCAAUAUCCACGAUCAAUUUUAAUAAAAUUCUUAAGAUUUCAAGACAAAGAAAGGAUUCUACAGGCGGCUACCCAAGCUGCCAAGAAGAGAAAAGGGCCACUGAUGAUAAAAGGGAAGAAAAUUUUUUUCUAUCCUGACAUAAGUUAUGAACUUUUGAAAAGAAGGAAGAAGUUUAAUCCAGUGAAAAAAGCCCUAUGGGAUCACGGUUAUCAAUUUAUAUUGCACUAUCCUGCAACCUUGAAGAUUUUCUUGCUUGGUGGAGAAAAUAGAUUUUUUGACGAUUACUAGAAAGUGGAGGAGUUUGUGCGAGAUUCUUUGAAUACUCACCAGAUACAAGAACAAACUUAGGGGAGUGAGAUGGAUUGAAGAUGAAGACUGGAUCAAGGAUUAGGCCUGUUGAAUUUUUAGGCGGAUGAAUAUAUAAAUAUAUUAUUAAUUAUAUGAGGUGGGGAAGACAGGUUAAAAUUUGAGGAAUAUUAGCUGGGAAUAAUAACAUUAAUUUUUUUUUCUAUUAUAUAUAUAUUUUUUUGUUACGGGGGAGCUGGAAGAAACACUGACCAAUCGCUAUGUUAUUCAUGUGUGCAAACGUGGCAAUAGCCACGACCCGCACAAUGGAGCGGGGUAGUGUUGUGUAUCUCUUCAUUCACAACAUUAGUGGGGGGGUAUUUUGUUUUUUCUUUUUUUUGCAUCUUACCUAUCUCUUUUUUUUUCUUUUUGCCUGGAUGAUUGGGAGGGAAACACAUAGCAACGUGCUGAAGUUCAAAGAGAUUCCCCAGGGAACUACGAGAGUUGAGAAGCUAAGUAAUGUUUUAGAUUUUAAGAGAUAAAUAUGUAACAUUUUUGAAUAUUUGGAGCCCUUAUUUAUAGCUCCGAUGAUGAAGAUCUUGGUUCCUUGGGGGAAAGUAACAAAUAUAUAGUAAAUUUAUUUUUAUCCCAUGGAGCAUGUGCAAACCUUCCAAUA